GGCCGCGGGAAUUCGAUUCAGGCCUAACACAUGCAAGUCGAGCGCCCCGCAAGGGGAGCGGCGGACGGGUGAGUAACACGUGGGAAUUUUCCUCAAGGUACGGAACAACUCAGGGGAACUUGGGCUAAUACCGUAUGAUGCAGAGAUGCCAAAGAUUUAUCGCCUUGGGAUAAGCCCGCGUCGGAUUAGGUAGUUGGUGGGGUAAUGGCCUACCAAGCCUGUGAUCUGUAGCUGGUCUGAGAGGACGAUCAGCCACAUUGGGACUGAGACACGGCCCAAACUCCUACGGGAGGCAGCAGUGGGGAAUCUUUCACAGUGGGCGAAAGCCUGACGCAGCCAUGCC
rnacentral:rRNA from 1 species